UACGAAGGGGGCUAGCGUUGCUCGGAAUUACUGGGCGUAAAGCGCACGUAGGCGGAUUGUUAAGUCGGGGGUGAAAUCCUGGAGCUCAACUCCAGAACUGCCUUCGAUACUGGCGAUCUCGAGUUCGGGAGAGGUGAGUGGAACUGCGAGUGUAGAGGUGAAAUUCGUAGAUAUUUCGCAAGAACACCAGUGGCGAAGGCGGCUCACUGGCCCGAUACUGACGCUGAGGUGCGAAAGCGUGGGGAGCAAACAGG
rnacentral:rRNA from 1 species